rnacentral:rRNA from 1 species
GAUGAACGCUGGCGGCGUGCCUAAUACAUGCCAGUCGAGCGAACGGACGAGAAGCUUGCUUCUCUGAUGUUAGCGGCGGACGGGUGAGUAACACGUGGAUAACCUACCUAUAAGACUGGGAUAACUUCGGGAAACCGGAGCUAAUACCGGAUGAUCUUUUGAACCGCAUGGUUCAAAAGUGAAAGACGGUCUUGCUGUCACUUCUAGAUGGAUCCGCGCUGCGUUAGCUAGUUGGUAAGGUAACGGCUUACCAAGGCAACGAUGCAUAGCCGACCUGAGAGGGUGAUCGGCCACCCUGGAACUGAGACGCGGUCCAGACUCCUACGGGAGGCAGCAGUAGGGAAUGUUCCGCAAUGGGCGAAAGCCUGACGGAGCAACGCCGCGUGAGUGAUGAAGGUCUUCGGAUCGUAAAACUCUGUUAUUAGGGAAGAACAUAUGUGUAAGUAACUGUGCACAUCUUGACGGUACCUAAUCAGAAAGCCACGGCUAACUACGUG